CACGUAGGGGACGAGCGUUGUCCGGAUUCAUUGGGCGUAAAGCGUGCGCAGGCGGUUCGUUGUGUCGGUGGUGAAAUCCCCGGGCUAACCUGGGAAUGGCCUGGAAACUGGCGAACUGGAGUGCGGCAGAGGGGGGUGGAAUUCCGCGUGUAGCAGUGAAAUGCGUAGAGAUGCGGAGGAACACCGAUGGCGAAGGCAGCCCCCUGGGCUAGCCACUGACGCUCAGGCACGAAAGCGUGGGGAGCAAACAGG
rnacentral:rRNA from 1 species